GCUGAAAUAGCUCAGUUGGGAGAGUGUCAGACUGAAGAUCUGAAGGUCCCUGGUUCAAUUCUGGGGUUUUGGCA